AGUUUGAUCCUGGCUCAGGACGAACGCUGGCUGCGUGCUUAACACAUGCAAGUCGAACGCUGAAGCCUGGGUGCUUGCAUCUGGGUGGAUGAGUGGCGAACGGGUGAGUAACACGUGAGUAACCUGCCCCUGAUUUCGGGAUAAGCCCGGGAAACUGGGUCUAAUACCGGAUACGACCAUCUGCCGCAUGGCGGGUGGUGGAAAGUUUUUCGAUUGGGGAUGGGCUCGCGGCCUAUCAGUUUGUUGGUGGGGUAAUGGCCUACCAAGGCGACGACGGGUAGCCGGCCUGAGAGGGCGACCGGCCACACUGGGACUGAGACACGGCCCAGACUCCUACGGGAGGCAGCAGUGGGGAAUAUUGCACAAUGGGGGAAACCCUGAUGCAGCGACGCAGCGUGCGGGAUGACGGCCUUCGGGUUGUAAACCGCUUUCAGCAGGGAAGAAGCCUUCGGGUGACGGUACCUGCAGAAGAAGUACCGGCUAACUACGUGCCAGCAGCCGCGGUAAUACGUAGGGUACGAGCGUUGUCCGGAAUUAUUGGGCGUAAAGAGCUCGUAGGUGGUUGGUCACGUCUGCUGUGGAAACGCAACGCUUAACGUUGCGCGGGCAGUGGGUACGGGCUGACUAGAGUGCAGUAGGGGAGUCUGGAAUUCCUGGUGUAGCGGUGAAAUGCGCAGAUAUCAGGAGGAACACCGGUGGCGAAGGCGGGACUCUGGGCUGUGACUGACACUGGGGAGCGAAAGCAUGGGGAGCGAACAGGAUUAGAUACCCUGGUAGUCCAUGCCGUAAACGUUGGGCACUAGGUGUGGGGGGCAUUCCACGUUCUCCGCGCCGUAGCUAACGCAUUAAGUGCCCCGCCUGGGGAGUACGGUCGCAAGGCUAAAACUCAAAG
rnacentral:rRNA from 1 species